AGCAGCCGCGGUAAUUCCAGCUCCAAUAGCGUAUAUUAAAGUUGUUGCAGUUAAAAAGCUCGUAGUUGAAUUUCGGGAUCAAUACGCCGGUCGUGCUUCGGUACGUACUAACGAUAUUGAUUUCUCCCUUCUGACGAACCGUGAUGUCAUUAAUUUGGUGUUACGGGGAGUCAGGACUGUUACUUUGAAAAAAUUAGAGUGUUUAAAGCAAGCAAUCGCUCGAAUACAUUAGCAUGGAAUAAUGGAAUAGGACGUUCGAACCUAUUUUGUUGGUUUCUAGGAUCGACGUAAUGAUUAAUAGGGAUAGUUGGGGGCAUUAGUAUUCAAUUGUCAGAGGUGAAAUUCUUGGAUUUAUUGAAGACUAACUACUGCGAAAGCAUUUGCCAAGGAUGUUUUCAUUAAUCAAGAACGAAAGUUAGGGGAUCGAAGACGAUCAGAUACCGUCGUAGUCUUAACCAUAAACUAUGCCGACUAGGGAUCGGAUGAUGUUAAUUUUUUAAUGUACUCUAUUCGGCGCCUU
rnacentral:rRNA from 1 species